GCUUGGCCCUAAACCUCAGUAAUUAGAUAACAAAACUACUCGCCAGAAUACUACAAGCAACAGCUUGAAACUCAAAGGACUUGACGGUGCUUUACAUCCCCCUAGAGGAGCCUGUUCCAUAAUCGAUAAACCCCGAUCCACCCUACCCUCUCUUGCUCAGCCUAUAUACCGCCAUCUUCAGCAAACCCUAAUGAAGGCCACAAAGUGAGCGCAAACGCCGCCGCCGCGAAUACGUUAGGUCAAGGUGUAGCCCAUGAGACGGUAAAAAAUGGGCUACAUUUUCUGUUUCAGAAAACCCACGAAAACCCUUAUGAAACUUAAGGGUCCAAGGAGGAUUUAGCAGUAAAUUAAGAAUAGAGUGCUUAAUUGAACCAGGCCAUAAAGCGCG
rnacentral:rRNA from 1 species